AAGAGAUGAUUUGGGGACGGGAUAGGAUCCUGGCAAACACACUGCAUUACCGAAAUGCUGUUUCUUACGUAAAGAUGAUGCCCAUGAAUGACCCUUGGAGGAACUCUCAGUGCGCUCCCAGUUUCACAUCCAUUCAAAAUGGACUCGAGACAGGACUGAAGGUGAUGGGAAGAAUCUCCCUUGUCCAGCCAGGGGCUGAGCGGGUACAGAGAGGAGAACAUCCCUUGUGGGUGGCAAACUUUCCACUGGCUUUGUUUGUUUGAUUUGUGAAAGACCCAAGGAAAGCAGUGCAAACCACCAUCAACUCAAGUUUUCCUGCUCAAAUUCCUUUUCAAGGCCGGAGAAUGGCUGCCCUGUUGCCUUCCUUUAGCAGCACAGAGACAUCUGGUUGGUGGAGCCUCCACUUUGAUAAGAGCACCGUGAUAAGGGGGAAUUUGGGCCUCAGAUUCAUU